rnacentral:rRNA from 1 species
UACGGAGGGUGCGAGCGUUAAUCGGAAUUACUGGGCGUAAAGCGCUCGUAGGCGGUAUGUCAAGUCAAGGGUGAAAUCCCCGCGCUCAACGUGGGAACUGCCUUUGAAACUGGCAAACUGGAGUGUGUGAGAGGAUAGUGGAAUUCCAGGUGUAGGAGUGAAAUCCGUAGAUAUCUGGAGGAACAUCAGUGGCGAAGGCGACUAUCUGGCACAUAACUGACGCUGAGGAGCGAAAGCGUGGGUAGCAAACA